ACAAGCGGUGGAUGAUGUGGUUUAAUUCGAUGCAACGCGAAAAACCUUACCCACCUUUGACAUGUACGGAAUUCGCCAGAGAUGGCUUAGUGCUCGAAAGAGAACCGUAACACAGGUGCUGCAUGGCUGUCGUCAGCUCGUGUCGUGAGAUGUUGGGUUAAGUCCCGCAACGAGCGCAACCCUUGUCAUUAGUUGCUACAUUCAGUUGGGCACUCUAAUGAGACUGCCGGUGACAAACCGGAGGAAGGUGGGGAUGACGUCAAGUCCUCAUGGCCCUUAUAGGUGGGGCUACACACGUCAUACAAUGGCUGGUACAAAGGGUUGCCAACCCGCGAGGGGGAGCUAAUCCCAUAAAACCAGUCGUAGUCCGGAUCGCAGUCUGCAACUCGACUGCGUGAAGUCGGAAUCGCUAGUAAUCGUGGAUCAGAAUGUCACGGUGAAUACGUUCCCGGGUCUUGUACACACCGCCCGUCACACCAUGGGAGCGGGUUCUGCCAGAAGUAGUUAGCCUAACCGCAAGGAGGGCGAUUACCACAGCAGGGUUCGUGACUGGGGUGAAGUCGUAACAAGGUAGCCGUAUCGGAAGGUGCGGCUGGAUCACCUCCUU
rnacentral:rRNA from 1 species